rnacentral:rRNA from 1 species
GACGAACGCUGGCGGCGUGCCUAACACAUGUAAGUCGAACGGGGUUAUUUCCUUCGGGAGAUAACUUAGUGGCGAACGGGUGAGUAACGCGUGAGGAACCUGCCUUUCAGUGGGGGACAACAGUUGGAAACGACUGCUAAUACCGCAUAACGUAUCGAGGGGGCAUCCCCUUGAUACCAAAGCUUUAUGUGCUGAAAGAUGGCCUCGCGUCUGAUUAGAUAGUUGGUGGGGUAACGGCCCACCAAGGCAACGAUCAGUAGCCGGUCUGAGAGGAUGAACGGCCACAUUGGGACUGAGAUACGGCCCAGACUCCUACGGGAGGCAGCAGUGGGGAAUAUUGGGCAAUGGGGGAAACCCUGACCCAGCAACGCCGCGUGAAGGAAGAAGGCCUUCGGGUUGUAAACUUCUUUUAGCAGGGACGAAGGACGUGACGGUACCUGCAGAAAAAGCAACGGCUAACUACGUGCCAGCAGCAGCCGCGGUAA